rnacentral:SRP_RNA from 11 species
GAAGGAUUGCAAGGAGGCUAUGCACGUCCAGGCACUGGCCGAGGCUGGAAACAGUGUGGCAGGAAUAGUGUUCGCAGUGACAGAGGAGGAGUUUGCCCAGGA